CCAAACAUGUUGCUCUCUAGUCUGAUGAAGAUGGUCGCAGCUUCAGUGUGGCUAGGAUCUGGCAUUUCCCAGAAGAUAACUCAAGCCCCACCAGCAAUGCUGGUUCAGGAGAAGGAGGCUGUGAAUCUGAGCUGCACAUAUGAUACUAAUGAUGCAAGUUAUGGUCUAUUCUGGUACAAGCAGCCCAGCAGUGGGGAGAUGAUAUUCCUUAUUCGUCAAUUUUCUUAUGACCAGAAAAAUGCAACAGAAGGUCGUUACUCAUUGAAUUUCCAGAAGACAAGCAAAUCUAUCAACCUUGUCAUCUCAGCAUCGCAAUUGGAGGACUCAGCAAUGUAUUUCUGUGCACUGAGAGAGGCCACAGUGAGAGAAUUGCUCGAAGGAGGUAUACAAAAACCUCAUGGUUCUGCGUGA